rnacentral:rRNA from 1 species
CAGUAGCCACGGUAAUACGUAGGGCGCAAGCGUUAUCCGGAAUUAUUGGGCGUAAAGAGCUCGUAGGCGGUUUGUCGCGUCUGCCGUGAAAGUCCGGGGCUCAACCCCGGAUCUGCGGUGGGUACGGGCAGACUAGAGUGAUGUAGGGGAGACUGGAAUUCCUGGUGUAGCGGUGAAAUGCGCAGAUAUCAGGAGGAACACCGAUGGCGAAGGCAGGUCUCUGGGCAUUAACUGACGCUGAGGAGCGAAAGCAUGGGGAGCGAACAGGAUUAGAGACCCCUGUAGUCCCUGUCUCUUAUAC